ACAGAGCGCGGCCUGGGGUCGGGGAACGCGGCGGGCUUUGCGCGUGCGCGCGGGGCACCCGCCGCCGACCAGGCAAGCCAGGCAGUAGGCGACCCAAGACCGUCCGCGGAGGAGACAAGCAAGCUGCCAUGUUAUAAGCAGCCCUUUGAGGGGUCCAUGUGAUGUCAAGGAAUGAAGUCUCUAGCCAACAUUUAAUGAGGAGCUGAGGCCCACCAACAAUCUUGAGUGAGCUUGGAAGUAGCUCCUUCAGCAUCAGUUGGGUGUUGAGAUGACUACUGACAGCUUGACUGCAACUUCAUGAGAGUCUUCUGAACCAGAACCACUCAAGUCAGGGUUUCACCAUGUUGGUCAGCCUGGUCUCAAACUCCUUACCUCAGGUGAUCCUCCCAAAGUGCUGGGAUUACAGUUUCAGUUAUCUACAGCCAACUGGGUAAACCAAAUAGAUGCUCUUUACAAUUAUUUUUUAACUUCUAAAAAUAUCUCAUUGAGGAUUCCGUUCCAAGAUGGCCAAAUAGGAACAGCUCUGGUCUGCAGCUCCCAGUGUGAUUAAUGCAGAAGACAGAUAAUUUCUGCAUUUCCAACUGAGGUACCAGUUGAAUGAAGAGAAGCACACCUCCUCCCCAGAACAGUACUGCAGCUAUGAUAUAACGCCUGGGCAGGGUUCGCAAUAGCAGCCAGGCUGUAAUGUAAGCUGGAAUUUCAAUCAAGGCAGAGAGGAAACAGUUCAGAUGGAGUCUUGCUCUGCUGCCCAGGCUGGAGUGCAGUAGUGCGAUCUAGGCUCACUGGAACCUCCACCUCCUGGGUUCAAGUGAUUCUCCUGCCUCAGCCUCCCAAGUAGCUGGGAUUACAGCUGCCCGGACACGAAGGAGCCGAGAAGCACGCCUACGAAGAACAGGGAGGUGGUGAGGGGCACCUUCCAGUUGUCCUCACACACCAGAUUCCACUGCCAAGGAAGACAGCAUGAAGCGUGAGCCCAACCCCGAGGCAGACCUCAACCCCAGCCCAGCUCCGAGGGAAUAUUAGCAAGGCUGGUGGGCAGACUCUCCUCCCCUGUGCCAGGAUAUUGCCUUUGUACAAAGGGCAUAGGCCUUGCAGCCCUGGGUUUGACUGGCCUGUGCCGGGACUGGGGCAAGUAACCUGGGGCAGGUCACUGCCCUCCCUGAAACUCAGGAUCCUCUUUGGAAAGGGAGGGUGAUGCUCCUACUCUGCUCGCAUUACACAUAGCAAGAAGUGAGCCGAGGCCAUGGCUGUGACUGGUGACCCCUCAGCUGUGAGGCAGUCCAAAGUAAAGGUGGCACUGCAUCUUCAGAAGCCAGCCUGGUGCAGAGGGGAGGUGUUUGAAAAUCCCAAAGGGCAGGGCAGAGGGCAUGGCCACUUGGUCCAGGGGUAAAAUUUCUUUUCCCUUGUUGAAAAGUGCAAGUGGUUCCAGGAGCUCUGUGACUUUAUUUUCUGAGCAGGCCCCUCUGAAAAAUCAUGUGGUCCCUGGUCCACUCACGCCUAGGCCAAGCUUGUGGCCUGAUUCAGGGCCCCAUCAUUCUAGGGCCUACUUACUCCUCUCCAGGGCUCCCUAGCUCCCCUCCUACAUCUCUACACCCUCCUUCCCAUCCAGUCUUUCCAGAAGUGUGGUCCCUCCCAUUCCCUAGGGACUGUGGGAUGCUGCUGCCCUAACAAGUCCCUGCCAGUGCAUCUACAAAAUGAGUUUCAGCCAGUUUCAGUUUGACUUAAGUCAAUUAAACAACAUCUCAAGGGAGGUGACAAAAAUUUCAAAGUGUGUUUAGUGACCUUUCAUUUAUUAAAAACAAAUAAAUAAAUAAACAGAUGCCAAUGA